AGUUCUACUGAAAUUGGUUCAUAUCAAAAAAGAAAACACAUUGCUUGACCACAGAACCCUCUCAUGUAAAUUGAGGGACUACUAGUUUACCAACAGCCGAGAGUGGCCCUGAGGUGAAUCUGCCAUGCUGUGGCUUCCCUGACUUGAAGACACACGUGGGUGAAGGGUCCCCUCAGUCUCCAGACAACCUUCCCCGAAUUUCAGGCUUUCCACUAAACAAGGAAAUAUCCUUCAUGAGCUAGGCCUUUUAGGAAUCAGGAAGAUAGAUGCUGACUUUGUACCAUACACUCAAAAGAGGGUGGGCAAAAAUUCCUCAACCCUAACUAACCCUGUCCUUACAUCCAAAAAAGUAGGUCUUUUUAAACAAGUGUCUAGGACAUUUAUUUCAGAAGCUACAAAUAAAAAUGGGACUACUCCUUUCAGUAACAACCCCUUGAUACAAUGAGUCUUAACCAAAUUCUAUUUAUGAUACAGAUGACCUGGCCUUCCCUAACCCCAUCCCUGGCUCCCCUACCCUCCUCACUCAACACAGGCAUAGCACACACAGCCUCCCUGGGCUACUUCCAACAUAGCACAUCUAGGGAAAACUGUAUGUUUGUUGAUAAAGGUCAUGGAGGUAAGAAAUGAAGUUGGGGGAGUUGUCACUGUAUAUGAAGCAACAUGUGUAAAGUUUAGUUUAAAUACAGGUCACCGCCAGCUGCGGUGGCUCACACCUGUAAUCCCAGCACUUUGGGAGGCCGAGGAGGGUGGAUCACCUCAGGUCAGGAGUUCGAGACCAUCCUGGCUAACAUGGUGAAACCCCGUCUCUACUAAAAGUACAAAAAUUAGCCAGGCAUGGUGGCAGGCAUCUGUAAUCCCAGCUACUCCAGAGGCUGAGGCAGGAGAAUCACUUGAACCCGGAAGGCGGAGGUUGCAGUGAGCCAAGAUCGUACUACUGCACUCCAGCCUGGACGACAAGAGCGAGUGAGACUACGUCUCAAAAAAGAAAAGAAAAGAAAUAAAUAAAUAAACAAAUAAAUACAGCUCACCUACAGCCAAGAAAAAACUAGACCAGGCUGGGAAUAUAAAAACUGUUAUUUCCUUGCAUGUAACCAAAGGGAGUUACAAAUUGGUAACAAACUUUUGGCUCUCACUCCAGUGUUUGCUGUCAGAAGUAGCUGCUCUCUAGCUAACCUGUAGCAUUGGCAUUCAGCUCCAGUGCAUAGAUCCUGAGGCCUAGCUGCUCUUGUCUAACAAGACAAGUAUGGUGGAUAGCAAAUGACAGCCCCAGAGAUGACAAGAGCACCUUUUCUGGGAAUUGCCAACAAUCCUGCCUUAGCCUGGGAAGGAGUUCAUUACCCGCUGCUUACCAAACCCUGGUCUGUGAGACAGGCUGUGUCUCAAGGAUUUUUAAUAAGUUCAGUGCCUAGCACUUACUGACAAUACAUGCUUGCUAAAUGAAUAACUGACUGAAUGAAUGAAUGAAUGAAAUGAACGACUAUCAAAAACAAGAUGCAUAAGAUGGAGAUCUGGCUAGACUAGGGAAUGUUCAGACUAGAACCCUGUUACUUCUAGCAUCUUCACAGGGAAAUUAGAAUCCUCAUUAAAGGUGGAAGUAGGUUGGGCGCGGUGGCUCACGCCUGUAAUCCCAGCACUUUCGGAGGCAGAGGCAGGGGGAUCACUUGAACUUAGGAGUUUGAGACCAGCCUGGACAACAUGGCAAAACCCCGUCCCUACAAAAAAUACAAAAAUCAGCUGGGCCUGAUGGCACAUGCCUGCAAUCUCAGCUACUCAAGAGGCAGAGGUGGGAGAAUUAUUUGAGCCCAGGAGGCAGAGGUUGCAAUGAGCUGAGAUUGCACCACUGCACUCCAGCCUGAGUGACAAAACUGUCUCAAAACAAACAAACAAACAAACAAAACGGAGGGAAGUAAGGAGCUACUUUCCAGGAAAGAGGGGAUGCUUGGAAAUGGCCCAGCCAUACAACCAGAUUUUUCUUUUAUACCACCCACAUGCUAUAGAUUGUCUGAGUGCAAGUGAGGAGAAAUACUAUUAAACACAAAGAAAGGAUUUGGAUCUGAAAGGGAAACACAAAUGUACAACGUGAGGAUUUUAACUUCUCUACACCACACAAGUUUAUCCUACUACAUUUUUAUUAAAGUAACAAAAAGGUGUACAUUUGUCCAUAAGCUGUACAUUCUUCCA
rnacentral:lncRNA from 10 species